CCUACGGGAUGCAGCAGUGGGGAAUAUUGGGCAAUGGGCGCAAGCCUGACCCAGAACCGCCGCGUGAAGGAAGAAGGCUUUCGGGUUGUAAACUUCUUUUGUCAGGGACGAAGCAAGUGACGGUACCGGACGAAUAAGCCACGGCGAACGACGUGCCAGCAGCCGCGGGAAUACGUAGGUGGCAAGCGUUAUCCGGAGUUACUGGGGGUAAAGGGCGUGUAGGCGGGGAAGCAAGUCAGAUGUGAAAACCACGGGCUCAACCUGUGGCCUGCAUUUGAAACUGUUUUUCUUGAGUGCUGGAGAGGCAAUCGGAAUUCCGUGUGUAGCGGUGAAAUGCGUAGAUAUACGGAGGAACACCAGUGGCGAAGGCGGAUUGCUGGACAGUAACUGACGCUGAGGCGCGAAAGCGUGGGGAGCAAACAGGAUUAGAUACCCGGGUAGUC
rnacentral:rRNA from 1 species